rnacentral:rRNA from 1 species
AUGGUUUGCAGUGUCACUGAUGCUUCAAUUAACGAGACAAGUCGACCAGUUGUGGACCCUUCAGCAUGCUUCUUGUGGAUAAUGGCUGCAGGAACUAUAGCCUGCGCCUCGCUCUUGCAGGGACCGAAUUCUGGAACAAACUACAGACAAGAUAAACCAAUCAUUGAAAUCACCGCCAAGAGAGCUGUUCUUCUUCUUGUAGUAGCUUCACUUUUCCUUAUCCUCCGGUUCUACUUCAUGUCCUCUUGGAUCACCUGGCUGCUAAUUGUGACAUUUUGCAUUAGUGGCAGUGAGGGUAUGCAUUUUUGCUUGGUGACAAUUAUCUCUAGGAUUUUUAAGGAUUGCAGAAAUAAUACUGUACAGUUGCCCUUGUACGGGGAGGUCUUAACCUUGUCUCUUGGAGUGGUACCAUUCUGUACGGUCUUUGCCAUUCUAUGGGCUGCUUAUAGGCAUUCUUCGUUUGCCUGGAUAGGUCAAGACAUCCUUGGUAUCUGCACAAUGAUAAACACGCUUCAGACAGAGCGCUUACCUAAUAUCAGGGUUGCAUCAGUUCUUCUUAGUGCUGCAUUUGUGUAUGACAUCUUCUGGGUCUUCAUUUCACCUCUUGUAUUCCAUGAGAGUGUUAUGAUUGCAGUUGCAAGUGGUGGCGUCUCAGGGGAAGCGAUUCCGAUGCUCCUAAGAAUACCUCAUUUCUUUGAUCCAUUGGGUGGCUAUGCCAUUUUAUGCUUUGGUGAUAUUAUUUACCCUGGACAGCUCAUUGCAUUCAGCUACAGAUUUGACAGGGCAGGCAAAAAAGGUAUCUUGAAUGGAUAUUUUCUAUGGCUGACCGUGGGAUAUGUUGUUGGCCUUUUCCUUACCUAUCUUGCGUUCUUCCUAAUGGAUGGACAUGGUCAACCGGCAUUGAUGUACCUAGUUCCAUGCACCCUAGGGCUUAUUGUUGUGCUUGGCUGGAUAAGAGGUGAACUGCCUCACUUGUGGAACUACGGAAGAAGACCGGAAAAUUUAGUCGGUGAAGUUGAAAUGUGA